AAGCAGUCUUCCUGUCCAAGAUCCACCCCAGAGAGCUAGGCAUGUCAUAGGCCAGGAAUAGUUCGGUGCUGGAGCUGGGCAUGGGAAUAGAGCCAAGCAUUUGAGAGGCAGGGACCAGGCAGAUGUCAGAAACAAGAACCAGCAGACGUCCAAAGAAGGCAUCUGUCUGAAGGCCAGGAUGCAAGAUACAGUAAGUAGGCUGCCAGCUGCAAGCCAGGAAGAGGGCCCUCACCAGAAGCCAACUAUGAUGGCACCCUGAUCUUGGACUUCCCAGUCUUCAGAACUGUGAGAAAUAAAUGUCUGUGGUUUAAGCCACCCAGUCUCUGGUAUUUUGUUAUAGCAAUGCCCACAGACUAAGGCAUAUGUCCAGCCUCAGGCACGGCUGGCUAGAGGGAUCAAAGCUGUCCUUAUCACCUUGUUAAUCUGUCCCCGUAUCUCAGCUCUGCUUACUCACCCAAGGCUCCAUUGUCAAGAAAAGCUCAUGUCCCAGUGCAACCCAAGCAGCUCCAGCUUACAUUGCCUCAGGUUUAAGUUGGAAGGACAGCCUACUUUGAGGUCUCUCCUCCCAGCAGAAUCUCAUUGCAUCUCACUGAGCCUGUCAGGGCCACAUGCCCACUCCUGAACCGAGCUCUGUAGCCAGGGAAAGUGAUGUGCUGAUUGCCUUAGGCCUAGGCCACAGGCUUCACCCCUGAGCCUGUGGGUGGAGCAUCACUCAAAGAACCCAGAAUAAGGUGAGGCCACCAGCUCAUCAAAGGACAUGGCGAGGGUGCUGAAGACACAAAGAACACAGCCUACCAAGCAGCUUAACAGAGGCUGGGUGGGAGCCAGGCCAGAUCUCAAAAAGAAACCCUCAGGACCAAGAAAAGAGUGAUACAGCAAAUAAACAGAUCAACACUAGAAAGUAAAUAGAUCAACAUCG
rnacentral:lncRNA from 1 species